UUGGGAAUAUUGGACAAUGGGGGCAACCCUGAUCCAGCCACGCCGCGUGAGUGAUGAAGGCCUUCGGGUCGUAAAACUCUUUCAGCAGGGAAAAAGGGGCAACCUUGAUGGUACCUGCAGAAGAAGCACCGGCUAACUCCGUGCCAGCAGCCGCGGUAAUACGGAGGGUGCAAGCGUUGCUCGGAAUUAUUGGGCGUAAAGCGCGUGUAGGCGGUUUCUUAAGUCUGAUGUGAAAUCCCAGGGCUUAACCCUGGAACUGCAUUGGAUACUGAAAAACUAGAGGGCGAGAGAGGAUGGUGGAAUUCCUGGUGUAGGGGUGAAAUCCGUAGAUAUCAGGAGGAACAUCAGUGGCGAAGGCGGCCAUCUGGCUCGCACCUGACGCUGAGACGCGAAAGCGUGGGGAGCAAACAGG
rnacentral:rRNA from 1 species